UGGUUGAACCUCAAUCUUCCCAGUUUUACUGUGCACAACAGAACUUUUCUACUGAAGUUGGCAUGUACCAACUAAUAGUCAAAUGGAAUGUAAAUGAACAUGCCAGCAGCUUACUUUAUUUAAACAAACAGGAUUAAAAGAAUAAGAGAAGAAAGAUCUUCCUUCUAGUGGUACUUUUGAUAUAUCUUUGAUAUUAUGAAAUGCUUUGAUGCUGCCACAAUAGAUACUAUAAAAAAUAUCCAUGUCUAGUUGCAGUAUAUCCUGAUUUCAGUUAGGACAGAGUUAAUUUUCCUCCUAGUAGCUGGUAGGGUGCUAUGUUUUGGAUUAGGAUGAGAAGAGUGCUAAUAACGUGCUGAUGUUUUAAUUGUUGCAGGGCAGUGCUUACACCAAGCCAAGGACUUCUCAGCUUCUCGCUCUGUCCUGCCAGCGAGCAGGCUGGGGGUGCAGCAGGAGCUGGGAGGGGACAGACCCAGGACAGCUGACACAAACUGGCCAAAGGGGUAUUCCAUACCAUCUGACGUCAUGCUAAACAAUAUAUAGGGGUGGCUAGCUGGGGUGGAGGGGCCGGCUGCUUGGGGAUAGGCUGGGCAUCAUUCAGCUGGUGGUGAGCAAUUGCAUUGUGCAUCACUUGUUUCGUACACAUUAUUAUUAAUAGUACCAUUAUUAUUAUUAUUAUUGAUAUUAUUAUUAUUUAUUAUUAUUAUUAUUUUCCUGUCUUAAUAUACUGUCUUUAUCUCAACUCACAGGCUUCACUUUCCGGUUUCUCUCCCCCAUCCCAGAGAGGGAGGGGGGAGGGUGAGCGAACGGCUGUGUGGUGUUUAGCUGCCAGCCGGGUUAAACCACAACAUCUAAAUAUCCCCUCUUUUCAUUUGAAACCAGUCUCCCCUGUCCUAUCAUUAUUUGCCCAAGCAAAAAGUUGUUCUCCAUCUUUUUUUUUAUAAUCCUUCUUUAAGUACAGAAAAGCUGCACUAAGGUCUCCCCAGAAUCUUCUCUUCUCCAGGCUGAACAGCCCCAGCUCUCUCAGCCUGUCUUCACAGGAGAAGUGCUCCAGCCUUCUGAUCAUCCUCGUGGCCCUUGUCUGGACCCAGUCUAACAAAUCCACAUCCUCCUUGUAGGAAGAAGAGGCCCCAUCCUGCCUUCUCUCACCUGUCAGCCCAAACUGCUUUUCAUUAAUGUUUGGCAAUAUGCACAGGUUGUAUCCUCCAUUCAGCCUGUAAUAACUUUAGAGGUCAAGCUUGGAAGAAUGAAAAAGGUCUAUAGCAUUUUAAUCAUUUCCUUUACAAAUAGGCUUCUGUUGUUUUUCAUAUAUUUAUUCACAUCUCUCCAUCCCAUGAGUGUACUAAAACUCAGACAAAUAAUCCAAUUAUUUCUACUGCUAAAAUAUGACCAUCUGGUCAAAUUAUGCUAGUCUCAUUCUCUUACUGUGAACAAGUACACUUUCACACCAAUUAUUUUUAAAAGUUAACCUGGUUUUUAAUUCAGAAUUCUUCUUUUCCCUCUCCAGCUUGUUUAUGUAGCAAGUAAUGCUUUCUAAUCUGUUCUAUUUAUUAUUAUUAUUAUUAUUAUUAUUAUUAUUAUUAAAUUAAUUUUUCUUGUGUGUGCAGAGAAUUCAACUCUGACCACAGGGGAAUUUGUGAGAACUGGACCUCUUAUCCUUGUGAAGUUUGUCUCUUGCUACACUAAAGAUAACUUAUUUCAGCAGGCCAGGCAUUUUUAUACAAAAGAUGAGAGAUGUCACCAUGUAGGCGUAACGAUAAGUACCGUCACGAUUUUCUUUUUUUAUUUUAUUUUUUUUCCCUUUGUAAAAGAAAGUCAGAAAUGGAGCAAUUACCUUUUAACCGCUUUACUGAAAUGGAU
rnacentral:lncRNA from 1 species